UACAGAGGUCUCAAGCGUUGUUCGGAUUCAUUGGGCGUAAAGGGUGCGUAGGCGGCGCGGUAAGUCGGGUGUGAAAUCUUGGAGCUUAACUCCGAAACUGCAUUCGAUACUGCGGUGCUUGAGGACUGGAGAGGAGACUGGAAUUCAUGGUGUAGCAGUGAAAUGCGUAGAGAUCAUGAGGAAGACCAGUGGCGAAGGCGGGUCUCUGGACAGUUCCUGACACUGAGACACGAAGGCCCAGGGGGAGCAAAACGGGG
rnacentral:rRNA from 1 species